GAUGAACGCUGGCGGCGUGCUUAACACAUGCAAGUCGAACGAAGCACCUUAUUCUGAUUUCUUCGGAAUGAAAAAUUUGGUGACUGAGUGGCGGACGGGUGAGUAACGCGUGGGUAACCUGCCUCAUACAGGGGGAUAACAGUUAGAAAUGACUGCUGAUACCGCAUAAGACCACAGCACCGCAUGGUGCAGGGGUAAAAACUCCGGUGGUAUGAGAUGGACCCGCGUCUGAUUAGGUAGUUGGUGGGGUAACGGCCUACCAAGCCGACGAUCAGUAGCCGACCUGAGAGGGUGACCGGCCACAUUGGGACUGAGACACGGCCCAAACUCCUACGGGAGGCAGCAGUGGGGAAUAUUGCACAAUGGGGGAAACCCUGAUGCAGCGACGCCGCGUGAGCGAUAAAGUAUUUCGGUAUGUAAAGCUCUAUCAGCAGGGAAGAAAAUGACGGUACCUGACUAAGAAGCACCGGCUAAAUACGUGCCAGCCGCCGCCGUAA
rnacentral:rRNA from 1 species